rnacentral:misc_RNA from 1 species
GAUGAAGAACGCAGCAAAAUGCGAUAAGUAAUGUGAAUUGCAGAAUUCAGUGAAUCAUCGAAUCUUUGAACGCACAUUGCGCCCGCCAGUAUUCUGGCGGGCAUGCCUGUUCGAGCGUCAUUUCAACCCUCAAGCACAGCUUGGUGUUGGGACUCGCGUUAAUUCGCGUUCCCCAAAUUGAUUGGCGGUCACGUCGAGCUUCCAUAGCGUAGUAGUAAAACCCUCGUUACUGGUAAUCGUCGCGGCCACGCCGUUAAACCCCAACUUCUGAAUGUUGACCUCGGAUCAGGUAGGAAUACCCGCUGAACUUAAGCAUAUCAAUAAGCUGAGGA